AUUGAACGCUGGCGGCAUGCUUUACACAUGCAAGUCGAACGGUAACAGGGUGCUUGCACCGCUGACGAGUGGCGAACGGGUGAGUAAUACAUCGGAAUGUACCCAGUAAUGGGGGAUAACGCUUCGAAAGGAGUGCUAAUACCGCAUACGCCCUGAGAGGGAAAGUGGGGGACCGCAAGGCCUCACGUUAUUGGAGCAGCCGAUGGCUGAUUAGCUAGUUGGUGAGGUAAAGGCUCACCAAGGCGACGAUCAGUAGCGGGUCUUAGAGGACGAUCCGCCACACUGGAACUGAGACACGGUCCAGACUCCUACGGGAGGCAGCAGUGGGGAAUCUUGGACAAUGGGCGAAAGCCUGAUCCAGCAAUGCCGCGUGCGUGAAGGAGGCCUUCGGGUUGUAAAGCGCUUUUGUCUGGGAGCAAAUCCUGGCCUCUAAUACAGGUCGGGGAUGAGAGUACCAGAAGAAUAAGGACCGGCUAACUACGUGCCAGCCGCCGCGGUAA
rnacentral:rRNA from 1 species